rnacentral:rRNA from 1 species
CGGGUGAGUAACGCGUAGGAAUCUACCCAGUAGUGGGGGACAACAGUCGGAAACGGCUGCUAAUACCGCAUACGCCCUAUGGGGGAAAGCGGGGGACCUUCGGGCCUCGCGCUAUCAGAUGAGCCUGCGCAGGAUUAGCUUGUUGGUGAGGUAAAGGCUCACCAAGGCGACGAUCCUUAGCUGGUCUGAGAGGAUGAUCAGCCACACUGGAACUGAGACACGGUCCAG